rnacentral:rRNA from 1 species
UUUUGCACAAUGGGCGAAAGCCUGAUGCAGCAACGCCGCGUGUGUGAUGAAGGUCUUCGGAUCGUAAAGCACUUUCGACCGGGAAGAACACCCCUUGGCCAACAUCCAGGGGCCUGACGGUACCGGGAGAAGAAGCACCGGCUAACUCCGUGCCAGCAGCCGCGGUAAUACGAAGGGGGCUAGCGUUGUUCGGAUUUACUGGGCGUAAAGCGCACGUAGGCGGGUUGUUAAGUCAGGGGUGAAAUCCUGGAGCUCAACUCCAGAACUGCCUUUGAUACUGGCAACCUAGAGGCUGGAAGAGGUUAGUGGAAUUCCCAGUGUAGAGGUGAAAUUCGUAGAUAUUGGGAAGAACACCAGUGGCGAAGGCGGCUAACUGGUCCAGAUCUGACGCUGAGGUGCGAAAGCGUGGGGAGCAAAC